GAUGAAGAACGCAGCGAAAUGCGAUAAUUAAUGUGAAUUGCAGAAUUUAGUGAAUCAUCGAAUCUUUGAACGCACAUUGCGCCCCUUGGUAUUCCGGGGGGCAUGCCUGUCUGAGCGUCAUUGUCAACCCUCAAGCUCAGCUUGCUGUUGGGUCCCCGUCGUUGCUUUAACGGCGGACCCGAAAGGUAAUGGCAGAGUCCGUGAGACCCUAGACGCAGCGAGCUUCUAGCACGCGUCUGGACGUUUUUCGGGCUCGGUCUUAACUAGAUGAUAACUUCCGAUUGACCUCAGAUCAGGUAGGGAUACCCGCUGAACUUAAGCAUAUCAAUAAGCGGAGGA
rnacentral:misc_RNA from 1 species